UCGGGAUUGGUAUACCCUAGGAAAACGGAGACUAGGGAGUGGAGACCCUAUGUCUAAAAUUCAAGCAACUAGAGAGUGGAAACCCUAUGUUGGAGAAGAGACUAGGGAGUGGAGACCUUACGUCUAAAAAUGAAAGUAACUAGGGAGUGGAGACCCCAUGUUGGGAAAAGCAACUAGGGAGUGAAGAUCAUAUGUCUAAAAAUCAUCAACUAGGGAGUGGAGAUCCUAUGUUGGAAAAAUGACAAGGGAGUGGACAUCCUAUGUCUAAAAAUCAUCAACUAGGGAGUGGAGAAUCUAUGUUGGAAAAAUAACUAGGGAGUGGAGACCCUAUGUCUAAAAAUAGCGUCAACUAGGGAGUGGAGACCCUAUGUUGGAAAAUACAACUAGGAAUUGCAGAUCCUAUACUACUAUGAUUUUGAAUUUUCUUCCUUUUCUUUCCUUUUUUUUUUAGUUUUUUUCAUCAUUUUCAUCAUCAUUUUUUAUCUUUUUCUUUUUUCUUUUAUUUCAAUGACUAAAUGCGGGAAAGAAUUUUGGAGGAAACUUUCCUUUUUAGAGUUGUUGCUGCAAAGUUGUUUCUAGCCCUUACGCAGUUUCUUUUUGGUUACACUUGCUUCUUGUAAGGUUGCUUUUGGAUUGCACCUAUUUCCUAUUUUUUCAAACAAAGAACAAUUUGUUAGUUUGAAAUGGUGGUUGGUUUUGUGGCCUUGAUUAAUUCAGUCACUUGAUCUCGGACCAAUUUCUUUGAUGAUAUUUUCAACUGCAACUAGUUGUUCCCUAAAGACCGAUUUCAUUUCUGGCCCAGGAGAACCUUUGGCUUUUUCAAACACUACCAUGACAGCUGGUCACGUGGAACUUAACCUUUUCAACUUUAUUUUGCCUUCGUGGUCCUUUCACUUUCUUUCUUCCUAUUUUCAACUUCAAAGCAUUGGGCAAUCCUUGGCUUUUCAACCUGACGGUUAGUCGCGUGGGACUCAACCUUUUCAACUUCAUUUUUGCCCUUGUAGAUACUUCAAUUUGAUUUCCUUCUUUUGAGAGUUUUCAAUUUCAAAACAUCAGCCAACAUGACCAGUCAAAGUCGACUUGAUGCCCUUGCCGAGGUUGGGUGCCUUCUUGCACAUUAGCUCGUGUCAAACAAAAGCCUUGUAAAUCAGUCAGUCUUACCAUCCUUUAUUUGUCUUAGUUUUGGAAUAGAGUUAGACUAAAAGUGUCACUAACCUAAACCCCACCCAGUUGUGAUGGUGCCUCUCGUGAAGAUAAGGCCAGCCGACACUUCCCAUUAUCCGAUUAUUAAUAAUUAAGCAUUAAGAAACAGUCUGAACAUGAAUAAAUAACCAAAGUUUAAGCGGUUAAUAGCAUAGAUGCUCAUGACUAGUGACACUUUUCACGACCCUAAACCCGGACCCGUCGUGAUGGUGCCUCUUCGUGAAGACAAGGCCAACUGACACUACCCAUUUCAGUAUUUAACAGUUAAGCAUUAAGAAACAGUCUAAACAUGAUCAAGUAAAUCAAAGUUAAACAGUUAAUAGCAUAAUUCGUGGAAAAUAACUCAACACAGCCCGAUACCGGGGUGUCACUAGUCAUGGGCAUCUAUAACUCAUAAUACAAGUCUGGUAAGUCUAUAAGCUAGUACAAAUGUCUGAUCAGAAAUAGAAAUGAUAAAGAGGGAGAAACACGGAUCUGCAGAUGUCAAGCAGCUACCUCGUGAACUCCGAAUGUCCACCGGGAGCUCUCAACUCGCACUAGCAGGAUCAGCAACGCCUGAAUCUGCACACAGGGGUGCAGGGAGUAAAGUGAGUACUCCAACUCAGUGAGUAACAAAUGUAAAUAAAGACUAAAAGUAAGAAAUCACAUUAAUCACAAAGCAUUAUAUAAUGAAGCAGUAAAACCAUUUAAAAUUAGUAAAUCAGUGAAUGAUAGGUAAAAUUCUUUAACUCAAACGUAGUUUCAUGACAGCCUUUUUCAAUAAUUAUGCAGGAAAUUGACAAUCAAUUGUAAAAAGUAAACACAUAAGGCUCAAACCUCAGGCACAAUAUCAACAAAUCCGCCCCUCGGGUAACAUCUUAGAACAGUACCAACCCCUCGGGCAAUCACAUAGCACAAUACCAGCCCAUCGGGCUAAAUCUCACAUCACAAUGGGUACCCACGCUCAUUGGGGGUGUACAGACUCCUAGAGGGCCCCUUACGGCCCAAGUGCAAUAUCAAGCCACCUCGUGGCGUACAGAUCUCAAGCCCUCGGCCUCAUAAUCGAUAUCAAAUGUUUCCUCACAAUAUAGGCCCUCGGCCUCACUCAGUCAAAAAAUCGCACAAGCCACUCGGGCAAUAGUAAACAUGAUUCUCAGCCCAAAAAUGUCAUUUAAAAGAUCAUGUAAGUGUUAAAACAGAGUAAACAUGGCUGACUAUGAAAACAGUGAAAUAUAACAUGACUGAGUUCAAAACAGUGAGAAAAUAUCAGUAAAAAUCUCUGAAGGGUUCAAAUAAUUGGCACAAGGCCCAAAUAUGGCAUUCAGCCCAAAUAAUGAUGAUAGCAAAUAGAUUUCAGUCAAAUACGCGGUAAAGUAGUCAUUCAGGAUAGACCAAGUCGCAAUCCCUAACAGUGCACAACCCUACGCUUGUCAUCAAGUGUGUGCGUCACCUCAAUAUAGCACAACGAUGUGUAAGUUCGGGGUUUCAUACCCUCAGAACAUCAUUUACAAUCAUUACUCACCUCGAACCGGUCAAAUCUCUAGCUCGUGACACUUUUACCCCUCGAAUCGGCCUCCCCUCGCGUCGAAUCUAUCAAAAAUCAGAACGAGGACGUCAAAAUAUGCUAAGGGAACGAAUCCCAAGUGAAAAUAAUCAAUAUACGGCACAAAAUCCCAAAAUUACCUAAACGCGACCCCCGGGCCCACGUCUCGGAAUUUGAUAAUUUUUACAUCAAUAGAUUCCUUAUCUCCCCAUGAGUUUAUAUAUAUCAAAAGUUCUGAACUCCGACCUCAAAUGGUCCUUCAAAUCCUCAAUCAAAGGCCUAAAUUUCCAAGCCCUAAUUCUUCAAUUUUUGGCUUAAUUUCCAAAAAUCUUACCUCCAAGUGAUUCCCCAUGAAUCCCUCUUCAAUAUUCUUCAAAAAGCUCCAAAAAAGUACAAUAAUGGGAGAAAUAAACCCCAAAAUCGCGGACAAGAUGAGUAUUUAAACAUUCUGCCCAGGCCUUAAUUCCUUCUUCGCGAACGCGGUCAAAGCCUCGCGUUCGCGAAGCAUAAAAUGACUUUGACCAAAUAUCCUCUCAUGCGAACGCGACAUGCCCAUCGUGAACGCGAUGGUUCCUCAGACUUACUCUUCGCGAACGCACUCCCUCUCUCGCAAAUGCAAUGAACAACUCGACCUCAAACUAGCUGACCAAUUUCCUCUACGCGAACGCGCUCACCUUCUUGCGAACGCGAUGCACAAACAUCCAGCCCUUCGCGAACGCGUAGCCUUCCUUACGAACGCGAAGGCUUAAAUCCCAGCCUCUAUCAACUGGCCCUUCGCGAACGCGAGGACCCACUCGCGAACGCGAAGGUCUAAAUCUUCUGCAACACACAACAUUUUUCUGCAAUUUUAAACAUCAUAAAAUGGUCCGAUUGACCACCCGAAACUUACCUGAGACCCCCGGAACCUCAACCAAACAUGCCAACAUAUCCCAUAACCUCAUUCAAACUUGUUCAAACCUUCGGAUCGCUCAAAACAACAUCAAAACACCAAAUUCGCAUCGGAUUCAAGCCUAAGAAUUUCAAAAUCUUCUAAAUUACGUUUUUGAUCAAAAACCCAACCAAACCACGUUUUAAUGACCUGAAAUUUUGUGCACACAUCCCAAAUUACACAACGGAACUAUUGCAACUCUCGGAAUUUCAUUCCGACACUUAUAUCAAAAUCUCACCUACUAACCGGAAAUCGCAAAAAAUCCAUUUUCGCCAAUUCAAGCCUAAAUCUACUCCAGACCUCCAAAACUCAUUCCGAUCACGCUCUUAAGUCCCAAAUCACCCCCGAAGCUAUCCGAACCAUCGAAACUCAUAUACGAGCCCUUUAAUAUAUAUGUCAAUAUCCGGUUGACUUUUCCAUCUUAAGCUUCCUCAAAAGAGACUAAGUGUCUUAAACCUUACUAAAAUCAUUUCGGAUUCGAUCCGACCAACCCGAUACCAUAUAACAUGAAUAAACAAAGCAUAAAGAAGCAGAAAUAGGGGAAACGGAGCGGUAACUCAUGAGACGACUGGUCGGGUCGUCACAUCCUCCCCAACUUAAAUAAAUGUUUGUCCUCGAACGAGUCAAGAAACAUACCUGAAUCCUUAAAUGGGUGAGGAUAUUUGCUCCGCCUCUUUCGCUCUGUCUCCUAGGUAACCUUCUCCAGGGGCCGACCUCUCCACUGCACUUUCACUGAAGCUAUAUCCUUUGACCUCAACUUUCAAACCUGACGACCCAAAAUAGCUACUGGCUCCACAUUAUAGGUCAAAUCAUCAUCCAACUAAACCGUGCUAAAAUCCAGAUCAUGAGACGGAUCCCCAAUAUACUUUCGAAGCGUAGAAACAUAAAAUACCAGAUGCACACUCAACAAGCUGGGUGACAAAGCAAGCUCAUAAGCCACUUCCCCAAUCCUCUGAAGCACCUCAAAAGACCCAAUGAACUGCGAACUCAAUUUCCCUUUCUUCCCAAAUCUCAUAACACCCUUCAUGGGCGAAACCUUCAACAGAACCUUCUCGCCAACCAUGUAGGACACAUCCCGAACCUUCCUAUCAGCAUAACUCUUCUAUCUCGACUGCGUUGUUCGAAGCCUCUUCUAAAUUACCUUCACCUUUUCUAAAGCAUCAUGCACCAAGUCUGUCCCCAAUAACCUAGCCUCACCGAGCUCGAACCAACCAAUUGGAGAUCUACACCGCCUCCCAUACAAAGCCUCAUAUUGAGCCAUAUGAAUACUCGACUGCUAGCUAUUGUUAUAAGCAAACUCUACAAGCGGUAGAAACUGAUCCCAUGACCCUCCAAAAUUAAUGACACAAGCAUGCAACAUGUCCUCCAAUAUCUAAAUAGUGCGCUCGGACUGCCCGUCCAUCUGAGGGUGAAAAGAUGUGCUCAACUCAACCUGAGUACCCAACUCUCGUUGCAUAGACCUACAAAACUGCGAUGUAAACUGAGUGCCUCUAUCUGAAAUGAUGGGAACUGGGACACCAUGCAAACGAACAAUCUCUCGAAUAUAGAUCUCUGCCAACCGCUCUGAAGAAUAGGUAGUAUACACAGGAAUGAAGUGUGCGUACUUGGUCAGCCAAUCCACAAUCACCCAAAUAGCAUCGAACUUCCUCAAAGUCCGUGGAAGUCCAGCUACAAAGUCCAUAGUGAUCCUCUCCCACUUCCGCUCUGGAAUAUCUAUCCACUGAAGCAAGCCACCUGAUCUUUGAUGCUCAUAUUUCACCUGCUGAUAAUUGAGACACCGAGCUACAAAUCUCACAAUGUCUUUCUUCAUUCUCCUCCACCAAUAGUACUGCCUCAAAUCCUGAUACAUCUUCGCGGCACCUGGAUGAAUGGAAUAUCACGAGCUAUGGGCCUCCUCCAGAAUCAACUCCCGAAGCCCAUCCACAUUGGGCACACAAAUUCGGCCCUGCAUCCUCAACACUCCAUCAUCACCAAUGGUCACAUCUCUGGCAUCAUCGUGUUGAACUCUGUCUUUAGGGACAAAACAAAUGUGGAUCAUCAUACUGGAGCUCUCUGAUGCGACCAUAUAAGGAAGACCGAGAAACCACACAAGCCAAUACCCGACUAGGCUCCGAAAUAUCUAACCUCACGAAUCGAUUGGCCAAGGACUGAACAUCAACUACGAGAGGUCUCUCCCCAACUGGAAUAUAUUCCAAACUCCCCAUACUCACCACCUUUCGGCUCAAGGCAUCGGCCACCACAUUGGCCUUUUCCGGAUGGUACAAUAUAGUGAUAUCAUAAUCCUUAAACAACUCCAACCACCUCCGCUGCCUCAAAUUGAGAUCUUUCUGUUUGAACAAGUGUUGGAGGCUAUGAUGAUCAGUAAACACCUCACAAGACACACCAUAAAGUAAUGCCUUCAAAUCUUCAACGCGUGAACUAUGGCAGCCAACUCUAAAUCAUGAACGGGGUAGUUCUUCUCAUGGGGCUUCAAAUGACGAGAAACAUAAGCAAUAACUCUACCCUUAUGCAUCAAUACAUAACCAAUGUCAACUCUCGAAGCAUCACAAUACAUGGUAUAUGAACCUGAAGCUGCUGGCAAAACUAACACUGGAGCUGUGGUCAAAGCUGUCUUGAGCUUCUGAAAGCUCUCAUCACACUCGUCCGACCAUACAAAUAAAGCACCCUUCUGAGUCAACUUAGUCAAGGGCGAUGCGAUAGAUGAGAAUCCCUAAACAAAACAGCGAUAAUAACCCGCCAAACCAAGAAAGCUGCAAAUCUCUGUGGCUGAGGAUAGUCUGGGCCAACUCUGAACCAUCUUUAUCUUCUUCGGAUCAACCUGAAUACUCUUACUGGACACCAUGUGCCCCAAGAAAGCCACUGAACUGAGCCAAAACUCACACUUGGAGAAUUUUGCAUAAAGCUUCUCCUCUCUCAAUCUUUGCAACACAACUCUUGAAUGCUUCGCGUGCUCCUCCUAACUAUGUGAAUAUACCAAAAUAUCAUCGAUGAAGACUAUGAAAAACGAGUCAAGAUAAGGUCAGAACACAUUGUUCAUCAAAUGCAUGAACAUUUUUGGGGCAUUGGUCAGCCCGAAAGACAUUACCAAGAACUCANNNNNNNNNNNNNNNNNNNNNNNNNGACACGCUAAUCCAAAUGAUCCUUUAUCAAGGAGUUCCUGAAGCUGCUCCUUUAAUUCCUUCAACUCUGUUGGUGCCAUAUGAUACGGUGGAAUAGAGAUGGGCUGAGUGCCCGGCACCAGGUCAAUACCAAAAUCAAUAUCCCUGUUCGGUGGCAUGCCUGGCGGGUCUGCAUGAAACACAUCGGAAAAAUCCCUUACAACUGGAACAGAAUCAAUCUUGGGAGUCUCAGCACCGACAUCCCUUAGGAAGGCUAGAUACGAAAGACAACCCUUCCCAACCAUACGCUGGGCUUUCAAGAAUUAGAUUACUCUACUGGGAACAUAAUCAGUCACGCCUCGCCACUCAAUUCGUGGCACACCCGGUAUAGCCAAUGUGACUGUCUUAGCAUGACAGUCCAGAAUAGUACGACACAGAGAUAGCCAAUCUAUGCCCAAAAUGACAUCGAAAUCCACCAUACAUAAUAUUAAAAGAUCCACACGGAUCUCCAGACCACCAAUAGUCACCAUACACGACCGAUACACAUGAUCUACAACAACAGUAUCGCCCAUCGGGGUAGAUACAUGAACAGGUGAAGCAAGAAACUCACGGGGCAUACCCAAAUAACGAGCAAAGUAUGAUGACUCAUAAGAAAAGGUGGAACCAGGAUCAAAUAAUACAGAGGCAUCUCUGUGGUAGAUUGAAACAAUACCUGUAAUAACAGCAUCUGAAGCAAUGGCAUCGGGUCUGCCUGAAAGUGCAUAGAAACGGGCCUGACGACCACCUGAUCAACCUCCUCUCUGGGGAGACCCCUAGCUGACUAACCUCCACCCCUUACUGGUUGGGCGGGUGGUGGUAAAGUAACUGGCACUGAAGCCGAUGACUGAUUCUCCCAAACGCCUCAAAUUGGAACCAACAUAGCACAUAACCGUGCAGUCAACUAAUCAAUAACAGACUCCCCUACUUGGCUCGAAGCCAUAGAUCAAAACACACUCAAUAACUCAUAAUGCAUAUACUCUAUUGCUGCCAUAAUACUAUAGUGAGAUUAAACUCAAUCCUUCAUAAGCUUGUGAAACACAGACCAUCUGGUACUUUAACUCUUAUGCAAAUCUCUCAUUCACUCUCAUAACGGUUAAACCCACUCUCUUAAGCGACCCAAACUUAAAUUGCAAUACAUAUAUUUCACUUGUAAAUGAGAUCUUCUAAUGGACAACAUAAGGAUCACACAACCUCAGAACACUCCGCAGGAGAUAACCCACUUGCUUUUCCUCAACCUAGCAUUUCUGUAUACCUUCCACCAUCAUAAACAUUACGCAGUCACUUAAACUUCCUAAGUCUAAACUCAGACCGCAACAUGAAAUUUACUCCACUCCCAACUAGGAAACAUGGAAGGAUUCUUCACACAUCCAUAACUCGAGGCUAUACCUCAAAUCAAGAUGAAAAUCGAGCACCUAAUAGUAUUUCUAUCCUCCAGCAGUCCCUUCUCGUUGCUUCCAAAUCACAUGAAUACAUCUCACAGUCACAACACACUCAUCACGUAACUAUCCAGUCAUCACCUCCCUUAAUAGGGACACAACAAAACAUAUAGAUGCAGAAACACACACUCACAAAAUAACAACUCAGGGCUCAAGCUAUAGGCGAAGAUCCGACCUCGAGUCCUCCAGACUAGCAACAUCAACGCACAAAGAUCACAUCUCGCCCCUCGAUCAGAGAAUCACAAGCUAUCGAUGCAUAUAUGAUACCGAGUGCUAAUGCACGCAUACGAACGCGUGGAAGGAAUUCAAAGAGUUACUUUUCAAGCUAAAUCAAGGACGUACGAUAAGAAUUCAAGAAUAUGAAAUUUUUCCUAAAGGGUGUGUAGCCUCUCGAGGAUAAAUACAAACGUCUCUGUACCGAUUUGCAAGACUCUACUAAACCUGCUCAUGACUCGUGAGACCUAUGUAACCUAGGCUCUGAUACCAUCUUGUCACGACCCUAAACUCGGACCCGGUCGUAAUGGCGACUCUCGUAAAGACAAGGCCAGCUGACACUACCCAUUUUAGUAUUUAACAGUUAAGCAUUAAGAAACAGUCUAAGCAUGAUCAAAUAAACCAAGGUUUAAGCAGUUAAUAGCAUAAUUCGUGGAAAAUAACUCAACACAGCCCGAUACCGGGGUGUCACUAGUCAUGAGCAUCUAUAAGUCAUAAUACAAGUCUGCUAAGUCUAUAAGCUAGUACAAAUGUCUGAUCAGAAAUAGAAAUGAUAAAGAGGGAGAAACACAGGUCUGCAGAUGUCAAGCAACUACCUCGUGAACUCCGAAUGUACGCUGGGAGCUCUCAACUCGCACUGGCAGGAUCAACAAUGCCUAAAUCUGCACACAGGGGUGUAGGGAGUAAAGUGAGUACUCCAACUCAGUGAGUAACAAAUGUAAAUAAAGACUAAAAGCAAGAAAUCACGUAAAGCACAAAGCGUUCUAUAAUGAAGCAGUAGGCUUUUCAUGAAACUACGUUUGAGUUAAGGAAUUUUACCUAUCUUUCACUGAUUUACUGAUUUUAAAUGGUUUUUUUCAAUAAUUAAGUAGGAAAUUGACAAUCAAUUGUGAAAAGUAAACACAUAAAGGCUCGCCCCUCAGGCACAGUAUCAACAAAUUCGCCCCUGAGGCAACAUCUCAAAAUAGUACCAGCCCCUCGGGCAAUCACAUAGCACAAUACCAGCCCCUCAGGCUCAAUCUCACAUCACAAUGGGUACCCGUGCUCACUGGGAGUGUACAAACUCCUAGAGGGGGCCAUUACGAUCCAAGCGCAAUAUCAAGCCACCUCGUGGCAUCAUCACUAGGCCCUCGACCUCAUAUCAAUCAAGCCAGCUCGCAACGUACAUAUCUCAUGCCCUCGGCCUCAUAAUCGGUAUCAAAUGUUUCCUCACAACAUAGGCCUUCGCCCUCACUCAGUCAAAAAUCCUCACAAGCCACUCAGGAAAUAGUAAAACAUGAUUCUUAGCCCAAAAAGGUCAUUUAAAAGAUCAUAUAAGUGUUAAAAUAGAGUAAACAUGGCUGAGUACGAAAAGAGUGAAAUAUAACAUGAUUGAGUUCAAGUACAAAGUCAAAAUAGUGAGGAAACACUAGUAAAAAUACCCGAAGGGUUCAAAUAGUUGGCACAAGGCCCAAAUAUGGCAUUCAGCCCAAAUCAUUAUGAUAGCAAAUAGAUUUCAGUCAAAUACGCAGUAAAGUAGUCAUUCAGGACGGACCAAGUCACAAUCUCCAACAGUGCACGACCCCACGCUCGUCAUCAAGCAUGUGCGUCACCUCAAUAUAGCACAACGAUGUGCAAGUCCUGGGUUUCAUACCCUUAGAACAUCAUAUACAAUCAUUAAUCACCUCGAACCGGUCAAAUUUCUAGCUCGCGAUGCCUUUGCCCCUCGAAUCGGCCUCCGCUCGCGUCGAAUCUAUCAAAAAUCAGAAGGAGGAUGCCAAAAUAUGCUAAUGGAAUGAAGCCCAAGCAAAAAUAAUUAAUAUGCGACACAAAAUCCCGAAAUUACCAAAACCUGACCCCCGGGCCCAAGUCUCGGAAUUCGAUAAUUUUUACAAUAAUAGAUUCCUUAUCUCCUCACGAGUUCAUACAUAUAAAAAGUUCUGAACUCUGACCUAAAAUGGUCCUUCAAAUUCUCAAUCAAAAGUGUAANNNNNNNNNNNNNNNNNNNNNNNNNNNNNNNNNNNNNNNNNNNNNNNNNNNNNNNNNNNNNNNNNNNNNNNNNNNNNNNNNNNNNNNNNNNNNNNNNNNNNNNNNNNNNNNNNNNNNNNNNNNNNNNNNNNNNNNNNNNNNNNNNNNNNNNNNNNNNNNNNNNNNNNNNNNNNNNNNNNNNNNNNNNNNNNNNNNNNNNNNNNNNNNNNNNNNNNNNNNNNNNNNUGAUUCCCCUUGAAUACCUCUUCAAUCCCCUUCAAAAAGCUCCAAAAAUGACCAACAACGGGAGAAAUAAACCCCAAAAUCGCAGACAAGACGAGUAUUUAAACAUUCUGCCCAGGCCUUAAUUCCUUCUUCACGAACGCGGUGAAAGCCUCGCGCUCGCGAAACAUAAAAUGAAUUUGACCAAAAAUCCUCUUACGCGAAAGCGACAUGCCCAUUGCGAAAGUGAUAGCUCCUCAGAAUUACUCUUCGCGAAUGCACUCCCUCUCUCGCGAACGCGAUGAACAACUCGACCAAAAACCCAGCCGACCAAUAUUUUCCUCUACGCAAACGCGCUCCCCUUCUCGCGAACGCGAUGCACAAACAUCCAGCCCUUCGCGAGCGCGUAGCCUUUCUCGCGAACGCGAAGGCUUAAAUCCGAGCCUUCAUCAACUGAACCUUCACGAACGCGAGGACCCACUUGCGAACGUGAAGGUCUAAAUCUUCUGCAACACACAUCAGUUUUCUGCAAUUUUCAAUAUCAUGAAAUGGUCAGAUUGACCGCCCGAAACUCACCCGAGGCCCCCGGGACCUCAACCAAACAUUCUAACAUAUCCCAUAACCUCAUUCAAACUUUUUCCAACCUUCGGAAUGCUCAAAACAACAUCGAAACAUCAAAUUCACAUUGGAUUCAAGCCUAAGAAUUCCAAAAUCUUCUAAAUUACGCUUUUGAUCAAAAAUCCAACCAAACCACGUCUGAAUGACCUGAAAAUUUGCACACACAUCCCAGUUGACACAAUGGAACUACUUCAACUCUCGAAAUUCCAUUUCGAACCCUAUAUCAAAAUCUCACCUACCAACCGGAAAUCACCAAAAAUCCACUUUCGCCAAUUUAAGCCUAAAUCUACUCCAGACCUCCAAAACUCAUUCCGAUCAUGCUCCUAAGUCUCAAAUCACCCCCGAAGCUAUCCGAACCAUCGGAACUCACAUUUGAUCCCUCUAACACAUAAGUCAACAUCCAAUUGACUUUUCUAGCUCAAGCUUCCUCAAAAGUGACUAAGUGUCUCAAACCUUACCAAAAUCAUUCCAGAUUCGAUCCGACCAACCUGAUACCACAUAACACGGAUAAACAAAGCAUAAAGAAGCAGAAAUGAGGUAAAUGGAGCGGUAACUCAUGAGACGACUGGUCGGGUCUUCAUAGAAAGGGAUUCAAAGAAAAUAAACAAUGGAAUAGACAAUGAAUUUAGACAAGAGGUAUCCCUUUCGGGGAAAGGAAAGAAGGACUUAUCUGGAGUACAUGCGGACUUCAAUGAACGUGACAUGCCUUUUGGACUGGAUGCAUGAUCUGUGUAAACCGUACGACUCUUAGAAAUUCAUCACAACUUUUGCCUCAGAACUGAGAAACCUUGCCCAGGACUGUGUUGACGCUCAUGGCCAUGAAGAUCCUCUUUUCGAUCAAUGGUGCUCUUUUGGGAGUUUUAACCAACUGGCCUCUCUCAUUUCUCUUCUUACCAUCACCUUACGAUGCCCACGAAUUUCCUUUCUCUCAUUUUGAUUGUAUCAGAUACAAGCGAUGGUAUCCUCUAAUUCUUGAACAUUCUCAUUAAUUGAUCAGAAGGACUUGAAUAGGAUUUGGGUAAAAAGGAUUUGGAUUGAAUUACAACUUUGGAAUCUUUCGCGCAAAACCAUCACCGAACCAUUAUAAUAUCUGCCUCAGAGAGAGGUUGUGUCAUGACCCAAAUUAAGACUGUGACCGACGCUCAGGAGCUAGUGCUCCCAAGUAAGCCUCAUCGGAAAUUUUACAGAAAAUCAGACAGAAUUUCCCCUGUUUUUGGACCACCCCAAAAAUUUUCCUGUCUCAAAUCAGCAACAAACAUCCUAAUAGCAUUUCAAAUGACAAUGACUUUAUCAAAUAACCAAAAUAAUCUACUUUUAACAGUUCACCCACUACCAACUAGAAAUACUACUAUAUCUCCAAAUUUUUAUAGGAAUGAGCGUUACUCAACAUAAGUCUAUAAUAACAAAGACUACUCAAGACACUAAAAGAAUGACCAUGGAGCGACUCUAAGAGUUCAAAAAAGACCAUGAAAAUAAAUAAAAUCUCUGCCCACGUGAACAAGUGCAAGGCUCACCGAGAACUAUCAAUCUGUGCGCUUUAAUUAACGAAAUCCUUGCCUGCGUCAGCUGCUGUCUCUGUAAAAAAAACUUAGCGGGGAAUGAGUCACUAGCUCAGUGAGUAAUAACACUUAACCACAACCGUUUUUAUUGGGAACAAGUCAGAAAACAUGCUAGUAUAUUAAACAAAAAAUAACAUAAGAAUGCCCUUUCGGAAACAAUAAAUAAUUUUCAGUCUCAUCAUGUUUUUUUUGUAAUAUAAUACACUUGACAAUUCUGUAAUAAGCUCGGUAACCACUGUAUAAUAUUAAUAUUCAUAUUUUGGUAGGUUUCAAUGAACGGAUCAUGUAAACGGCAUAACAGUGGACUUCUUUGCAAGAAGUCAUAUAUAACGGUAGUCCCUACUUGAGGAAAAUCGCUAACGGUAUGCUAGUUCUACCUUCCCACUAGCGAGGGCUAUAACGGUAACCGGUAAUUACAAGGUGCACCAAGUCUAACGAACCCACCGUUAUCUACAGGAUCCUUCAAUGGCUACUCCCAUUUAUAUUUGUCUCUGUAAUCCGUAUAUACUCGUAGAAACUAUUUUAAAACAAUAUAGGGCAUUUCGGUUCUUAUCAAAUCAUGAAAUUUCAUUUCGAUAACAGUAAAUUCAAGUAUCGAUAAAAACAUAUCUAGUAACGAUAAAAACAUUUAGGUUAACCGGUAACCAUCUCAAGUAAAUUAUUCGGUACUAUGCCAAGUAAAGGACUUGUCCCACUUGCAAAUUUCAAAGCAUCGAUAACACAUUUAUUUUCAAAAUCAUAUAUAAACCAUGCAAGUUAUUAAAACACAAAUUGUGGUAAGAUUACUACUCACAGUACUCGUGCGAAAUACCAAACUCUUCACCUCGACGAUCCGUACGACUUUCUUCAAUCAAUCUAUAACCACAUCAACACCGAUCUCGUGUUAAUUGCCUCAUUUAGGCUAAAUUCAUCACUAGUUUAGAAUAUCCAAUCCUCCGAGUUUUAUAUUUAACUCUUAAUUCGGCGAAUUAUAGUUACCAAAAUAUGAUUAAUUACUAAUCUAUCAACUCCAACCUAUUCAUAUAAUUUAUUAAUCCAAUAUCAUAAAGUUCUAUUGAUUCUUUAGGACGGAAAUUCUCAAUCGUUAUGUAAUAAUUAGCUAAUCAUUAGAAUUAAAAUUGAAGGCAAUAAACUUUGAAACAGUGUAUAGCAAAACCCGAAACACACCGUGUACUCUUUUCUUAACAUUAUGCACAUAACCUAUAUUUAAUUCAACUCCUUAAUAUGCAUAAUAAUUUCCAUCAUUAGACAAUUAUUACUCCACACACAUUCUGCCCCAAUUAUUAGGUAAUCAUCAUUCCCAAAAUUUAAAAGAAUAAAUCCCGUAGAAGAGUAGUAAUUUUUUUCUAGCAGCAUGUUUGUUUCUUCUAUAUCCAAUUCCCAGAAGUCAUUGCUAUAUUAUUCCCUUGUCUCCAGAUAAUUGGUAAGAUAAUUACAAACUAAAUUAUGUGUAAGGUUAGUGUCAUGUAUAGGGAUAAAUACCUGAAUUCUAGUUUCCUCCCUCACUUUUCUUCUCCAACUAUGGUCGUCGCUCACCCGAUUUCGCUUCUCUUCGUUCUAUUUUUUUUCUUUCUUUCUUAGCGUUUUGUAGCUUCUAUUGUUUAAUAGCAGAUUUGCUGCCUUUUGCCCUUUUCGUUUCUCUUUCCAAUGGGCUUUAGCCCAUUCUCCUAUUAUUAUUAUAUAUAUAUAUACUGGUUAAAGACUUAUAUCCCCUUAUUAAUAUAUAGGGUAUUACAGGCUGUCUACGUAUCCUUUCGGAAUCAAGUCAAACGUUCAAGAAACUUUGUUUUUUAUUUUCUUUUGUUUUUCUUUUGUUUUCUUUUCUUUUCUAUUUUUUUUCUUUUCCUUUUUCUUAUUUUUUUUUCAUUUUUCAUUUCAUUUUCUUUUGGUCAUUUUUUUUCAAUAACACUUUCAGGUUUCAAAGAGGGUAAUCAAAGGAAGGUAACCGGCUCAAAGGGUUGGAUAGCGAGAAAGAAAGCCUUCGUCAUCCCAAUCGGAGCAUUAAUGCUAGAUAGAAGAUCAAACAUAGUACCUUUUGACUGCACCAGCGUUGGCAGUUAUUUCAGGGAUAUUUCCUCCGAUAUUUUCCAAGUACAACGCUUUCUUUUGGCAGUACGCUCGUUACCAUCUAUGGAUCUUUCUAGUCUGAAGCCAAUUUUCCUUUAGUUGUUCCGAUUCUUUAUUUUAUUUCCUUAAACCUAUUUUCAUUGCAUUCUGAUUCUUGAUUUAUUAUUUCGAAGUCCAAUAGUGUUUUAGGAUCUGGGCAUGAAGUCUGCAAGCAUGUCAUGUCAUUAAAAAUCUGCAUUAACAGAACUGAAAAGAGAAUAAGAAAAGUGACAAAAUUAAGAACAAAGACAUCCCUGGAUAAUGAAAUAUUAAUUUCAUUAGUUUUUUUUUUGAAUUUUAAAGAUAGAAGAGUUUACAUCGGAAAGUAAGAUAAUAAAGUAAAAUAUCCGGAUCACACCCUGAGAUAAUCCAGACACAGAAAGGAUAACAAGACUGGCUAUCGAGACUCCCAUCUGAUGGGGGAACUUUCAGGCUUGGCGACCGUUUUUUGGCUUUUCUUCUGUCUCGGGAAUGGAUGCAAUGGCCUUCAGUGCCGGAUCAAAAUCCUCAUCUUCACAAAUAAUUCCGACUAUUGGCCCAGUGUUGUGAGCAGGCAACGGAUUGCUCGUCACGUCAGGAGCCUCUUUGUCUCGAAGAACGAUCCUUUCAGCUUCAAUCAAGUCUUCAACUGCCCUUUUGAGGGUCCAACAGUCCUCAGUACUGUGUCCCACUGCUCCGGAGUGGUAUUCACAUCUAGCAUCAGCUCGGUACGAGGGUGAAUCGGGGUUCGGCCAGUUUGGGGCCACUGGCUGUAACAGAUCUAGCUUGAAUAUCUUUUGGAACAAACUUGAAUAUGAUUCACCAAUAUGGGUGAACUGAUUCUUUCUGAAAGGCUCUUUUAGGCGAGGAUUGUACUGUGGAAUAUUUGGUUGGGGAUUAUAUGGAGCUUGGUAAGUAUGGCCAUUUCUGGGAGGUGGAGCUCGAUUUUGUGUAUAAUGUUGUGGCCGCGUGUAAGGUUGCACAUUCAUCACCAUAUAGGGAGGUGAUGCCACGGCAUAAGCAGCAUCUUGAUGGGGAUAAUAGUGUUGAGGGACCUCAGGAAGUAUAUAUGAUUGGUUGAAUGACCUGCGGGUCCUCCUCGAGCUCGAAGCCAUCAUGGCUCCCUCUUCUCUCCCAUUUCUGUUCAUCAAACGCUUCGAACCAUUCUGAGCAGCCUGUGAUAUGGCCUUAAUAGAAGCAUGACUCAAGAUUCUGCCCAUUUUUAACCUAUUUUCUACCAUCUCCCCAAUUUUGAUAGCCUCAACAAACGGCUUACCUAUAACAGACAUCAAGUUUUGGAAGUAGUCCGCCUCUUGAGCCUGUAGGAAGGCCGUAACCAUUUCAGCUUCGUUCAUUGGAAGCUUUACCCUGGUGGCUUGCUCGCGCCAUUUGACAGCAUAUUCACAGAAGCUUUCUGCUAUUUUCUUUUUCAAAUUGGACAAAGAGUUUAUGUCGGGAGCGAUGUCCAUAUUAUACUAGAAUUAAGAGUUUAUGUCGGGAGCGAUGUCCAUAUUAUACUAGAAUUAGCGAGCGAAAUCUCGGGCCAUAUCGUCCCACACAUGCCAAUGGCUAAUUUCUUGAUCCGUAUACAACUCAAAAACGAUUCCAGUGAGACUUUCUCCAAAAUAGGCCAUUAGCAGCUCAUGUUUUCCACCAGCAGCCCUUAGUUGGUUACAAUAUCUUCUCAAAUGAGCAACCGGGUCUUCAUACCCGUCGUACUUUUCAAAUUUUGGCAUCUUGAAAUCAGCUGGCAAGUGAACAUGGGGAAACAUACACGGGUCGUAGUAUAAAACCCUCUUUUGGCCACUCAGACCUUGCAUGUUUUUCAGACUUUGUUCCAUGCUCUUUAUCUUCCGAGCCAUUUCCUCUUGCUCGGGAUUCUUGACAACCUUUUCCUGUCCCAUCGAAGCGUCACAUUGUGGAGGUUGAGUAAAUGAGUAUGGGGUCACAUAUGUUAUUUCAAGUUGAAACUGUAGACUUUGAAAGGUGAACAUUGGAUGCUCAACAUACGGCCAUGGUAAAGUUGGUUGUGCUGUAGUGCAGAUUGGUGCUGUAGAGAACAUUGUUGGCAUUGCCUUUGAGACCGGCGCCUGGGGGCGAACCACAGAAGGCAUUCGGGGACCAUUAGACGGCAUUGGACGUACCCGCAUAGGAUAAACGGGUUGGGUACAAAGGCGUUGGUAGCCUCACCUGACUUGGGGAUCAACUUAGGGAACCUAGGGAUUGCACUUGGCGAUUCCCUACCAUUAGACCAGGCAUCCCACAUUUCCAAUAUGCGGAGACGCAACAUCCUAUUCUCUUCAGCAACUGCUGAUUCUGCUUGUGGAAUUGUCGAUGCUAGGCUAUCCUCAGGAUCGCUAAUUGGUAGAUCACUUUCGGAGGCCAUAGGAACCUUUCCUUUGGAUCUUGUAAAGUAAGGAUGAGAAACCAGAUUACCAACAAAACCAACUACCUGAACAGAACCUGGCUAAUUUCCACACCCAACAACCAUGUUAGUUUUGAGACGCUUAACAGAUCGGAAAUCGCAUGUCUGGAUACAAUGCACCUAAAUAGUUAAACACUUCUACCAUGUAUUUGAACGGUUGCAUAUUUCAUCCCGGCCUUAAACUAACCCUUUUUUCACUGUACCUCUUUUCUUUUAUUUCUGCCUCUAUUUUAUCAAUCUUGAUUUUUCUCUUUUUUCCGCUUUUUUUUUUGCACUCUCUUUUUCUCUUUUUGUUUUUGUCACUCUUUUUUUUUCCGCUUUUUUUUCCUUUUAUUUUUGUCACUCUUUUCUUUCUUUUUCACUCAACUUUUCUUUUUUUAUAUUAUUUUUUCACUCAAUUAAUUUUAUGGCUAUGAUCGAAUCCAAUGGGGAUUGCCUACAUAUCAUGACACCGCACUAAUCAGAUAUUUUACGUAGUUCAGGAAUACUAGGAACAAGGUAAAUGCGUUAACCCUUUUUAUAAUUUAUUCAAUAUUUUUAAAUAGGCAAAUCAUACCUCAAAAUCUUCUAACAAGGAAAACAUUUUGGAUUUUGGAUUUUGAUUUUUUUUUGGAAAGAAAAACUUCUAAAAAUUCUUUUUUGUUUUGAACUUUCGGAAAUUCAAAAGUAAAAAUAAAAUAUUUUUGUUUGAAUUUUCAUUUGUUUUCUCUUUUUCUAAAGAAGAAAAUAUUUUUGAAUUUUAGAUGUUGCCUCUUAAUUUUUGAAAGAGGGACUUUUAAGAAAAUAUUUUGGAUUUAUGAGUUUUUUUUUAAUUUACAAAAGUACUUCUAAAGAAAAGUGAAAAUAUUGUUGGACUUUAAUUUUUCAAUUUUUUAUGACAUUUACGAAGAAAAACUUUUAAAGAAGGAAACGAGUGGAUUUUCGUUUUUUUUCUUUUUGGAAUUUUUGGGAAAAAUACUUCAAAAUAAAGGAAACCCGUAUUUUGGAUUUUGAUUUUUGAUUUUUCUUUUCUUUUUUCGUAUGAAAGAAUUUGGAAAGAAGAAAAAUAUUUUUGGGUUAAAAACCUUUUUUUCUUUUAAUUUUUUAAGGAAAGACUUCUAAAGAAGGAAUUAAGGAAUCGAAAAAUAUUUUUGGAUUUUCUUUUUUUGAAAACUGGGUCUCAAAGAAAGAUUUCCAAAGAAGAAAUAAGAAUUAUUUUAUUUUUUUAUUUUUAUUUUUUGGAUUUUGAAAAAUAGGACAGGAAUCAAUGAGGUUUGCCUACGUAUCUCACAUCCAGUGAGAAACAAACCCGCAUAGUUCGGUCAGUUUUGACGCAACAGGAAAAUAUGACUUUAUGAAAAUAUUGGCUUAUUUUUUUUUUGUUAAAAAAUUUCGGUAGAGUUUCGAAUUUCAAAUACUCCUCUCACUCUUGUUUUUUUUUAUUUAUUUUUUUACCUAUUCUAGAAGCCAGUCAACAUGCAAACUGAAACAAACAGAUGCGCAAGUAGCACUUAAGAUGCAUCAGGAUGGACUUUUAAUUCGGGUACACCUAUCCUAGACGGACCCAACCCCUGUGUUGAGUCCCCAAAGUCAAAUGCACGUGAUGCAAACAAACGUUCCUACUAGGAAUCCAUCAUGAGGCUAUGUUCUUCUAAGUUAAAAUUCUGGGUGUAUUAUUUUAGAACUGACUUACCCGAGCGGACAACUUGAGUCGGGGGGGAGGGGAGGUGCAGCAUACUGGGAAUACAGAAGCUUCACCGGCUUUGCAACUUGUCCGAACCUCGUUCUAAAUUAGGUUAUGAUACUAACAGAAAAGAAGUCACGCCAGCGUGCACUUCCCAGAAGAUUUAGAAGACUGAGAGAGAAGAAGGGUUUCGUAACAGGUUAUAUACAAUUCACACAAUAUCAAAGCGGUAAAAAGCGGCAUUUAGCACAUUAGGCUCAAACACGUAAAAAUCAGAUAAUAAAUAAAAGCCAACUAUAAUAGUUAUUCUAAGCUCGAAUUAUGAACUCUGAACCAGAGAUUCUAGGUUCUUCUCCCCAGCAAAGUCGCCAGAGCUGUCACACCUUUUUUUUCACGAAGGGAUAGGGGAGUUUUUCCAAUUUAAGUGUCGAAAUGGAAUUAUUUAUUUGAUUUCAGAGUCACGACUUGGAAUAUUUACAGUGUCCCAAGUCACCGGUUUAUUUUAAAAUCCCAAAUCGAGGAAAUUUGACUCUGUUUUAAAGUUUGCGAACACAGAAAAUCGGGUAAGAAAUUCUGUUAACCCGGGAGAAGGUGUGACGCACUCCCGAAUUUCGUAGUUGUAGCACAGUCGCUAAACUAUUAAUAAUUGGCCUAAUUAUCUAAUUAAUUACAUGUUUAAAAUUAUUGUGCACUUUUAUCUUCUAACCGCCUUUUAAUUAUUCAAUUAAAUGCUUUUAGUAUUUAUGGAGUUUAUUUAAAUAAGUUGCGAUAUCUCGCACUUAUUAUUUUUUGUACACAUUGUGAAUCGCGUCACGUGAAACGCACCUGUGAUCCACAAUAUAUUUAUUUUGUUAUUGUUAUUUUGAGUUAUGGUCGAGUCACGUGACGCCCACACUCGAAUUGGGGUUUACAUAUCGUGACCAUGCCACGGGAACCAUACCCAUGGUCAUGAUGAUUUAUUUAAUCGUACCUAAAGCAAACUACAAUUGUUCAAAAGUUGCUUAAUUUUCCUACGUUUGGAAUCAAGCGUGAAAGCCAAAAGCCAUGGAGCUUUUCACCGCAGAUUCUAAAUUUCUACCUUUCAACACUACCCCUAAUUUAGCAACCACAAAUUCCUUAUGAAUCACUUACAUCCAUUUAACUGAUUUGAACAAUUCAAUUUAACGUUGUGGUCACAAAGGACAAAAUAUCACCAACAGUAAGGUCGUUUAACAGAAAGAAAAAUUUCAGUAUAGAGACUAUUAACAACCAAGAAAUUUAGACUUGAAAACCAUCUGGUCAUUAAAACUUGACAUCUCCCAAAAAAGAAGUAAUUCCAAAAUAAGCUUUAUAGACUACAACACAGGCAUAGUUUCAUUGAAUCCAUAAUACAGUAUGUUGUGCUUGUAUCAAACAAUUAAUAUGCAACAACAAAACUUCAGCAAUGUCCCGAUCAAUAGAGCACUUCUACAACUAAUGUUGAAGAAAUGUACCAGAAAUUUCAAGCCACACUAGCACCACUAUUUCACAAAACCGGCAUAACAGAACAUCGAACAAAACUACACUUAAACAGAGAAUAAUUCCAGUUUAACAUUCAAGCCAAAAUGAGCAACAAACUAAAAUAGAUGAAUCAUAAUCGUAUUCAGUGACGAAUUUAUGAAAUCAGUUGGGAAUAUGGCUUGAAUAACUCAGAUCUUCAUUCAUAGAUUUGAAGCGAAAAACAGAUGAAUAUUUACAUACCUAAUUGCCGAAAAUCUAGAAAUGGAAGAUGAAUCUCGAACUCCUCUAAAUCGAACAAAGAAUGAGGCUGAAGUGAGCCAAAUGAAGGCCGAAAAUAGCGGAUGAUGCUCAAGCCAACAGCAAAGAGAAGCAGCAGCGAGUUCCUCAGCAAACCAGAAAGUUAAUACCGAAAUCCAGAAGAAAAUGGAAGCUCCUUGUUCAAAUUCUAGUUUUCCUUUCUAAUUUGGAGCUUUUUGAGUUUUCCAGAUCUGGGAUUCAAGAAUUUUUAAUGUCUUUCAUGCGGUGAAGUGAAGAAGAAAGAACCGCCAUGGGAGGGGAGGGUCCGUUUAGUUUUUUCUUUGAAAUGGAGGGAAAGUCCACGUGGAGAAGACGAUGAACAAGGCGACGACGCUGCUAGGUUAGGAAAUGAGGGUCCAAUAUUUCAUCUCUACUUCUAUGUGUGUGUUGUGUAUGGUGUCGCCGAUUUUUGAUGGUGUGUAGCUAAGGUAUGGAGCAUUUUUCAUGUGGAGUUAAAAGGGUGGGAACGGCUGGCUCUAGGGUUCCCAAAUGGGGGAAGGGUCUG
rnacentral:lncRNA from 1 species